AGGUUCUCGUAUCCCAUCUUCUACAAUGCUCCACAAAUCUUGCGAUUCAUAUAAAACUCUCAUCUGAACACUCCAAUGGUGUGGAUGACAUUGGAGGAAUAUGCAGCUCAACCUUGUCCUGAAGAAAAAAGUUUAAGGAAAUACAUUACUAUGUUGGCAAAGGUAGGGAGAGACUACUCUGGAUUAACUCCACUCCCGUUAACAUUGGAUCCCGAGGAUACUCCAAGAAUUUAUUUGAACAAGCGAGAUCUAAACAAAGAAAUACAAUAAGAAAUCCUAAAUAUCAAGUGUGGACCAUUUGCUGUUUAUUGUAAACUUACUUUAUUUUGUGUCAUUCAUCACAUUUGCUUGUUGUAUAAUAAAUAUUUGGAAUUUCAUGUAUUUAUUACUUUUAAUGUGAUUUGAACGCAAUCCUCUCUGCAGUAUGCAUGAUGGAAAGUUGAUAGUCUUCGGUUAAUUUUCCUGUUAGAAUAAGAUCUGGGUUUUGAUGAUC